GGACCCGCACAAGCGGUGGAGCAUGUGGUUUAAUUCGAUGCAACGCGAAGAACCUUACCUGGUCUUGACAUCCUGCGAACUUUCUAGAAAUAGAUUGGUGCCUUCGGGAACGCAGUGACAGGUGCUGCAUGGCUGUCGUCAGCUCGUGUCGUGAGAUGUUGGGUUAAGUCCCGUAACGAGCGCAACCCCUAUCCUUAAUUGCCAGCGGUUAGGCCGGGAACUCUAAGGAGACUGCCGAUGACAAAUCGGAGGAAGGUGGGGGACGACGUCAAGUCAUCAUGGCCCUUACGUGUAGGGCUACACACGUGCUACAAUGGCCGGUACAAACGGUUGCGAACCCGCGAGGGGAAGCUAA
rnacentral:rRNA from 1 species